rnacentral:rRNA from 1 species
GGUAGUCCACGCCCUAAACGAUGUCAACUAGCUGUUGGGGCCUUCGGGCCUUGGUAGCGCAGCUAACGCGUGAAGUUGACCGCCUGGGGAGUACGGUCGCAAGAUUAAAACUCAAAGGAAUUGACGGGGACCCGCACAAGCGGUGGAUGAUGUGGAUUAAUUCGAUGCAACACGAAAAACCUUACCUACCCUUGACAUGUCUGAAAUCCCAGAGAGAUUAGGGAGUGCUCGCAAGAGAACCGGAACACAGGUGCUGCAUGGCUGUCGUCAGCUCGUGUCGUGAGAUGUUGGGUUAAGUCCCGCAACGAGCGCAACCCUUGUCAUUAGUUGCUACGAAAGGGCACUCUAAUGAGACUGCCGGUGACAAACCGGAGGAAGGUGGGGAUGACGUCAAGUCCUCAUGGCCCUUAUGGGUAGGGCUUCACACGUCAUACAAUGGUCGGGACAGAGGGUCGCCAACCCGCGAGGGGGAGCCAAUCCCAGAAACCCGAUCGUAGUCCGGAUCGUAGUCCGCAACUCGACUACGUGAAGUCGGAAUCGCUAGUAAUCGCGGAUCAGAAUGUCGCGGUGAAUACGUUCCCGGGUCUUGUACACACCGCCCGUCACACCAUGGGAGCGGGUUUUACCAGAAGUAGGUAGCUUAACCGCAAGGAGGGCGCUUACCACGGUAGGAUUCGUGACUGGGGUGAAGUCGUAACAAGGUAGCCGUAUCGGAAGGUGC